ensembl:lncRNA
CUGGCAAUUAUGUAAAACUAGAGCAGUAAACCAUUUCCUAUCUCUAAUUCUGCUUAUCUGCCAUCCUCUUCCGGAGCAGGUCACCUUAGCCAGUGGCGCGGAUUUGCCAAAAUGGCUGGACUUCAACCCCAGCACAAACACACUGCAAGGGCUGCCCAUGGCGGGCGAGAGCGGCGUAUACCUGCUGAACAUAGCUGCCCCUGGAAGGACACGUGCCCCGAAAACGUCAAGAGCUGCUGGAAAUUUCACCAUCCGCGUUCAGGAUGACACCUUUUUCCUGGACACGGAGGGGAGCCUGAAGCUCAUGCCAAACAGCUACCAGUGUGGGAAGGAAGUCCCCAUCACUUUUGCUGAAAUCAUUCUCUCUACUGGAGCAGAAACCCUGGAAGCACAGGAACGCCUCUACAUCGUAUGCACGAUGGCGGAGUAUCUCCACCUGGAUUCCUCCCUACUAACCCUGCUGCAAUACAGGGACUCAGCACACAGAGGCUGGCGGAGCCUGACCGUACUGGCUGAAGACUCUGGGCACAUUGACUUUACAGUGAACCGUUACGUAGGUCUCUCCUGGCCCGUGAAGUGUGGAGGGUUUGCUGCACUUCACGAAUUCGUCCAGGUCCUGCGGCACAAUGUUGACUCGCAUCACCUCUCACAGCUGCUAGGGUAUGAAAUAGCCGGCUGGAGAAUACUUAGGAGAGGGGAUUAUGAAAGAAAGUCUCCAAGACGACAACGUAGGCAAUUAAGGAUCACACCAACACCUACAUUAAAACUGACUGGAACUACGCAGAGAUCAGUUGCAGGAGAUGCUUCCAGGCCUUUGUCCUCUACUGUACCAAGCCACUUACUCACACAACUUGUGGUAUUGCCUACUCAGAGUUUACCAUCUUUCGGUGAAGAAAGUAUAACAAUGGCAAGUUUUAAGAUGGAUAUUAUUCUGCAUCUUGUAAGUCAAGAAAGUUUGCUCACCUUAGAAAUGGAUUCUGCAUGGAACAUGCCAACUAACCCACCGGCAUCUAUUAUGUUUGCAGACUCUAGUUUUCCAGAUCUUUCGCCUUCACUGACUACUAAAACACUUCUCUUCAAUGAACCAGAAGUGCUGCCUACUAGAGCUUCUGGCAUGUCCUUGCUGGUAGAGCAGCUGAAGCCUCACGUGCCUGAGAUGGACUCAUAUUUUCUUUCUAGUAAAUCAGAAGUAUCCACAUACCAUUUCCUACAGGACGUCGCUUCAGACACAGACCAGCUUUCCAGGCCCAUGUACACUCGGGUGAUAAACACUCUUCAUGAAUGGCCUCACAGCUCAGCAGCAGCAUUUCCUUCUAAGACAGAAUUCCAUGUAUUUUUGUCAGGAGCAAUGUCAGUCUCAGAAGUGCCAGAUUACAGCAAAGUUCCAGAACUUGAAAUGCUUGCUAGUGCAUCCCUCUCUCCAGAAACAUUCCCUUUGCUAUUCCCAAAAGCCUCAGUAAGAGCCACACCUUUACCUGACGUCACACUUCCCAUCGAUGACACCUUUCCACCUCCGCUAGCAAGUGGCAGUCUGAGCCAGCCAUCUGCCAGUAACUAUGACCAGUUAUCUAAACCAUUGAUGACUAUCCCACUGCCCAAUGGGUUUCCAUUUGCCGGAGGCAAAAGCCCCGUUUCUCCUGUAACACAGAGAGAAGCACAGACCCCCCAUCCCAAAUUGAAUUUCAGCCACACAGCCUCAGCCUGCUUUUCUAACAUGUUACAUGGCACUCUCCCUAGUAAAGCUGAAGCACCUUGCGAACCAAGACUGAUCACUCUGUCCCAUCCCGAAAGUGCUCCAGCUCUUACUCUGCCAGUAGACUUUUCUAGCUUUGACAUGACUGAGCUAUCUAGACCAACAAAUACACUUCAUUCUUCUUACAGCGGCAGCAUGCUCAGACCAGAGAUGCAGUCUGCAAGUAUUUUAUCUAGCAGCACAAAGGAAUGGUGUUCAGACAGAGAUCUGGAGACAAGAAGGAUUUUGCCAAUCAUCACGGAGCCUACCCUGGAGUCACACAUCUCAGACAUCAAGCCGGAUGCUGCAGAAGUACCUCUGGCGACUUCAUUUAAUUCCACUUC